rnacentral:rRNA from 1 species
UCGCCUGUUUAUCAAAAACAUCGCCUCUUGCUAACAAAAUGUAUUAGAGGUCCCGCCUGCCCUGUGACCACAAAGUUUAACGGCCGCGGUAUCCUGACCGUGCGAAGGUAGCGUAAUCACUUGUCUUUUAAAUGAAGACCUGUAUGAAUGGCAUAACGAGGGUUUAACUGUCUCCUUCCCCCAGUCAAUGAAAUUGAUCUACCCGUGCAGAAGCGGGUAUAAAAACAUAAGACGAGAAGACCCUAUGGAGCUUUAGGCCAAAGACCAAACAUGUUAAGGGAUCACACAAACCCAUAAGAAUUAAUAAAUGAUCAAAUAAACCAAAUGUAACAAUGGUCCAAGUGCCUUCGGUUGGGGCGACCACGGGGAAAAAAGAAACCCCCACAUGGAAUGGAAACAUUUCCCUAAACUAAGAAAAACACCUCCAAGUAACAGAACAUCUGACCAAAAAUGACCCAGGGUUAUUACACCCUGAUCAAUGAACCAAGUUACCCUAGGGAUAACAGCGCAAUCCUUUCCCAGAGCCCAUAUCGACGAAAGGGUUUACGACCUCGAUGUUGGAUCAGGACACCCUAAUGGUGCAGCCGCUAUUAAGGGUUCGUUUGUUCAACGAUUAAUAGUCCUACGUGAUCUGAGUUCAGACCGG